rnacentral:rRNA from 1 species
UACGUAGGGCGCGAGCGUUGUCCGGAAUUAUUGGGCGUAAAGAGCUCGUAGGCGGUGUGUCGCGUCGGCCGUGAAAACCUGGGGCUCAACUCUGGGCGUGCGGUCGAUACGGGCAUCACUUGAGUUCGGCAGGGGAGACUGGAAUUCCUGGUGUAGCGGUGAAAUGCGCAGAUAUCAGGAGGAACACCGGUGGCGAAGGCGGGUCUCUGGGCCGAUACUGACGCUGAGGAGCGAAAGCAUGGGUAGCGAACAGG